rnacentral:rRNA from 1 species
UCUAAAAGCUCUUCUCUCUGAACACGCCCAGUCCCACCUGAUCUCAGAAGCUAAGUAGGGUCGGGCCUGGUUAGUACUUAGAUGGAAGACCGCCUAGGAAGACUAGCUGCUGUAGGCG